CCGCUCAGGACGAACGCUGGCGGCGUGCCUAAUACAUGCAAGUCGAACGCUUCUUUUUCCACCGGAGCUUGCUCCACCGGAAAAAGAGGAGUGGCGAACGGGUGAGUAACACGUGGGUAACCUGCCCAUCAGAAGGGGAUAACACUUGGAAACAGGUGCUAAUACCGUAUAACAAUCGAAACCGCAUGGUUUUGAUUUGAAAGGCGCUUUCGGGUGUCGCUGAUGGAUGGACCCGCGGUGCAUUAGCUAGUUGGUGAGGUAACGGCUCACCAAGGCCACGAUGCAUAGCCGACCUGAGAGGGUGAUCGGCCACAUUGGGACUGAGACACGGCCCAAACUCCUACGGGAGGCAGCAGUAGGGAAUCUUCGGCAAUGGACGAAAGUCUGACCGAGCAACGCCGCGUGAGUGAAGAAGGUUUUCGGAUCGUAAAACUCUGUUGUUAGAGAAGAACAAGGAUGAGAGUAACUGUUCAUCCCUUGACGGUAUCUAACCAGAAAGCCACGGCUAACU
rnacentral:rRNA from 1 species